GACCGUGACCAAAUCCUCCGGGAUGAUCCUGGUCUCGUCAAGACCUCGGAAGCUAAGCAUGGUGGAGCCUGGAUAGUGCUUGGAUGGGCGACCACCACCGUGCAUGAGCCAGGUGCUACAGGCU
rnacentral:rRNA from 1 species